GACGAACCGUACGAACGUUAUUCGGAAUCACUGGGCUUAAAGGGCGUGUAGGCGGGUUGAUAAGUCGGGCGUGAAAUCCCUAGGCUCAACCUAGGAACUGCACUCGAAACUGUUUAUCUUGAGUGCCGGAGAGGAAAGCGGAAUUCCUGGUGUAGAGGUGAAAUUCGUAGAUAUCAGGAGGAACACCAGUGGCGAAGGCGGCUUUCUGGACGGUAACUGACGCUGAGACGCGAAAGCGUGGGGAGCAAACAGG
rnacentral:rRNA from 1 species